GGGCUAUGUUCUUUUAGGAAAAUUGUCUUGGAAUAAUACUUGGGAAUCGGCUAAGAUGCAGGUCGAGAGGCAUCUCGUUUGGCGUUUGGACUCUUGAAGCAGAGUGGUUACUGGGUUAUUUUGUUAUGCUAUGAUGUAUAUAUAUAUGUACUUGGCUUUCUCUCCGCAUAACUUGUUCUUUUUUAUCCUCUUAGAGGUUUAUGGAGAGGGAGGAUUGUGUAUAUGUACUUUUGGGUUUUGGAUAUGUAUGUAUAUAUGUGUAAAUAUUCUCCGGCCAGUCUUGACUUCGCAGGCUGUGUUAGGAGCUUAUUAUUUUGUAUCCUUGGCACUCUA